AUGAGUUGCCUCUCAUGGAACUGUCGGGGGCUUGGGAACCCCGAGGCGGUUCGAGAGCUUCGCAACAUUGUGAAGCUAGAAGGACCCACUCUUCUCUUUGUCAUGGAAACAAAAAUUAAGGGGAAGAGAGUUGAGGACUUGCAAAGACAUCUAGGCUUCGGCGGGUGCUUUGCAGUGGAUAGUGUAGGCAUAAGUGGUGGCAUCGAGCUUUUUUGGUCACAUGAU
rnacentral:rRNA from 1 species